UAUGAUAAAACACAGAUAGUGUUAUUUUCAAAAUAGAAUUAAACGAAAGAUACUACAAAAUUUAUUUUACAGUUUUUCUAAUUUGAUAUGUCACCAAAAAAAUAUUCAUAUAUAUUUGUUUAUUAUGUUCUUGAAAUUUAGUAAGCACUUUUUAGACCAAAUCCCCAUCUGAAACCAAAUCCCCAAACACUUACACACCUCGUAGAGCACUUUUUAGACCCAGAUGAGAGAGAGAGAGAGAGCGAGAGCAAGGGUUGGGGUUUGGAGAGAAUCAGGUGUAGAGAGAAGUUGAUACUUUUGGGGUUUGAUCUAGGGAGGGAAGUGAGAUUAAGAAAUUUGGUCUGAAGAAGCCACCAUCGGAGGUGGUGCUGAGUGGUGGUUGUGAUGAGCCAUGGCAGCAAAGAGAGAGGAAGAGGCUGACUGGUCCGGAUGACAUAGAAGCCAAGCCUACUCGAUUUGUUUUUCAACACUACAGGAUGACAUAGAAGCGAAGCCUACUCAACCUACCGCAAAGUUGGCUUUGUUCAUGAAAUUUUUUUUGAGAAACUGUUCAUGAAAUUUUAGAUAUAAAGAAAAUGACUCAUAUCUAUUUUGGUUGGGAUCAUUAUCAAGAUGUGGCUAUUUUGGCUUUCUUGAAACACUGAAAUCACAUAUUCAUAUUGUAAAGCUAAUUUGGCUAGGCUAUAAAGCCCUUUUUUUUA